GGUUAAUUAAAUUUCUGAUUUGCUAAGGGAUAUGAUAAUUUUGCUGAGUGGUUAUUUUGGCGUUCAAGGGUUCAUUUAAAAUCCAAAAGACGUUUCGAUUAUGAUUACGAAUCAAAGCUUAGAACCUCUAAGAUGAGCUUUAUUUCCAAAGCUGUUGUAAGGCUGGGUAACCUAUCCAAUGCAACUAAGAAACCCUUUGUUGUAACUCAUCAAAUCCCCUCUUCAUUAUAAUCU
rnacentral:misc_RNA from 1 species